UGAGGAAUAUUGGUCAAUGGGCGAGAGCCUGAACCAGCCAAGUCGCGUGAAGGAAGACUGCCCGCAAGGGUUGUAAACUUCUUUUGUAUGGGAUUAAAGUCACCUACGUGUAGGUGUUUGCAGUUACCAAACGAAUAAGCAUCGGCUAACUCCGUGCCAGCAGCCGCGGUAAUACGGAGGAUGCGAGCGUUAUCCGGAAUUAUUGGGUUUAAAGGGUGCGUAGGUUGCAAGGGAAGUCAGGGGUGAAAAGCUAUAGCUCAACUAUGGUCUUGCCUUUGAAACUCUCUAGCUAGAGUGUACUGGAGGUACGUGGAACGUGUGGUGUAGCGGUGAAAUGCAUAGAUAUCACACAGAACUCCGAUUGCGCAGGCAGCGUACUACAUUACAACUGACACUGAAGCACGAAAGCGUGGGUAUCAAACAGG
rnacentral:rRNA from 1 species